rnacentral:rRNA from 1 species
GCACGGGUGAGUAACACGUAUCCAACCUGCCGUCUACUCUUGGACAGCCUUCUGAAAGGAAGAUUAAUACAAGAUGGCAUCAUGAGUCCGCAUGUUCACAUGAUUAAAGGUAUUCCGGUAGACGAUGGGGAUGCGUUCCAUUAGAUAGUAGGCGGGGUAACGGCCCACCUAGUCUUCGAUGGAUAGGGGUUCUGAGAGGAAGGUCCCCCACAUUGGAACUGAGACACGGUCCAAACUCCUACGGGAGGCAGCAGUGAGGAAUAUUGGUCAAUGGGCGAGAGCCUGAACCAGCCAAGUAGCGUGAAGGAUGACUGCCCUAUGGGUUGUAAACUUCUUUUAUAAAGGAAUAAAGUCGGGUAUGCAUACCCGUUUGCAUGUACUUUAUGAAUAAGGAUCGGCUAACUCCGUGCCAGCAGCCGCGGUAAUACGGAGGAUUCGAGCGUUAUCCGGAUUUAUUGGGUUUAAAGGGAGCGUAGAUGGAUGUUUAAGUCAGUUGUGAAAGUUUGCGGCUCAACCGUAAAAUUGCAGUUGAUACUGGAUAUCUUGAGUGCAGUUGAGGCAGGCGGAAUUCGUGGUGUAGCGGUGAAAUGCUUAGAUAUCACGAAGAACUCCGAUUGCGAAG